UAUUGAUGACUUUCAGAGGCCUGAUGCUUC
rnacentral:piRNA from 1 species